CUGAGGGUUAAAAAAAGUUGUGUAUGUUUCAAUUCUACCAAAUAUUACCUGCUUACUCUUUGCUUAAUUGAGCCUCUCUAAAAAUCAUUUGGAUCAUGUUUGUUUGUUCGUUUGUUUGUUUUAACAGAAAGAAUGCAAUGAAGAUUGUAACUUCAAAGAACUAAUUCUGGAAAACCAUUACAACACAUAUGCAGCAGCUAAAUGGACACACAACGGAGGGGAAAUGUUUGUGGCCUUAAAUCAAAAGGGGAUUCCUGUAAGAGGGAAAAAAACAAAGAAAGAACAAAAAACAGCCCACUUUCUUCCUAUGGCAAUAACUUAAUUGCAUAUGUAAUCAAGAAAGGCUGGAAAACUACUGAAAAACUGAUCAAGCUGGACUUGCGCAUUUAUGUUUGUUUUAAGACACUGCAUUAAAGAGAGAUUUGAAAAGUAUACACAAAAAUCAGAUUUAGUAACUAAAGGUUGUACAAAAUUGUAAAACUGGUUGUACAAUCAUGAUGUUAGUAAUAGUAAUUUUUUUCUUAAAUUAAUUUACCCUUAAGAGUAUGUUAGAUUUGAUUACCUGAUAAUGAUUAUUUAAAUAUUCCUAUCUGCUUAUAAAAUGGCUGCUAUAAUAAUAAUAAUGCAGAUUAUGUUAUAUAAGGUAUAUCAGACCUACAGGCUGCUGGCAGGAUUUGUCAGAUAAUCAAGCCACACUAACUAUGGAAAAUGAGCAGCAUUUUAAAUGCUUUCUAGUGAAAAAUUAUAAUCUACUUAAACUCUAAUCAGAAGAAAAGAAUAUUCUCAAAAAAAUCUAUUAUGAAAGUCAAUAAAAUAGAUAAUUUAACAAAAGUACAGGAUUAGAACAUGCUUAUACCUAUUAACAAGAAGAAAAUUUCUAAUGCUGCUCAAGUGGAAAGGGUAUUGCUAAAAGGAUGUUUCCAAAAAUCUUGUACAUAAGAUAGCAACAGUGAUUGAUGAGAUUGAUGAAAAUACAGUACUUCAUCUUACUUGCCACUGAAUAACAUUUUAUAAUUCCUCAAAGUAAAAUUGAGAAAUCUUUAAGUUUUUUUCAAGUAACAUAAUCUAUCUUUGUAUAAUUCACAUUUGGGAAUAUGGCUUUUAAUAAUGUUCUUCCCACAAAUAAUCACACUUUUUUCCUAUGGUUACAACAUUAAACUCUAUAUUGAGUUGUUUUUGAACUUACUGUUUUGUUAUUUAUGUUAUUUAUAAAAAAAACCUUAAUAAGCUGUAUCUGUUUCAUAUGCUUUUAAUUUUAAAGGAAUAACAAAACUGUCUGGCUCAACUGCAA